rnacentral:lncRNA from 1 species
UCUUUAUCCAAAGUAUUUGCAGAAUGUGUCGAUAUACUAAUAGAAAAUAUUAAUUGUUUGUUGUUUCAGUCAUUAAUGUAUGUAUUGUUUCAGUUAAUAAACUUAAGGAAGAUUUUAACGUACUAAUCAACAUAGACGAGAGCGGUCUGGUCAGAAUUGAAGGCAACAGAGACGACGUCGCUAGUACCAGAACAGAACUAGAACAAAGAAUCUUCAAGCUAGAAAACGAAAAAGAAAAGGACGUAAUCAUAGAACAAAGACAUUACAGGAAUAUCAUAGGUACUAAAGGUGAAAAUAUCAAAGAUAUAAGAGAUAGAUUUAAUCAAGUACAAAUUUACUUCCCCGGUCCAGGAGACCGCAAUGACAUCGUCAAAGUGCGAGGACCAAAGGAGGAUGUCGAUAAAUGUGCCAGGCACUUGGAGAAGCUAG